rnacentral:rRNA from 1 species
UUGAUCCUGGCUCAGAAUGAACGCUGGCGGCGUGCUUAACACAUGCAAGUCGAACGGUAACAGAGAGUACUUGUACUCUGCUGACGAGUGGCGCACGGGUGAGUAAUAUAUAGAUAAUGUGCCUCUUAGUCUGGGAUAGCCAUUGGAAACGAUGAUUAAUACUGGAUACUCCUUCUAAACUCAAGUUUAGUCGGGAAAGUUUUUCGCUAAGAGAUCGGUCUAUAUCCCAUCAGCUAGUUGGUAGUGUAAGAGACUACCAAGGCGAUGACGGGUAGCGGGUUUGAGAGGAUGAUCCGCCACACUGGUACUGAGACACGGACCAGACUCCUGCGGGAGGCAGCAGUGAGGAAUAUUGCACAAUGGGGGAAACCCUGAUGCAGCAACGCCGCGUGGAGGAUGACGCAUUUCGGUGUGUAAACUCCUUUUAUAUGUCAAGAAAAUGACGGUAGCAUAUGAAUAAGCACCGGCUAACUCCGUGCCAGCAGCCGCGGUAAUACGGAGGGUGCAAGCGUUAUUCGGAAUCACUGGGCGUAAAGGACGCGUAGGCGGGUUGGAAAGUCAGAUGUGAAAUCCUACAGCUUAACUGUAGAACUGCAUUUGAAACUUCUAAUCUAGAGUAUGGGAGGGGGAGAUGGAAUUAGUGGUGUAGGGGUAAAAUCCGUAGAUAUCACUAGGAAUACCGAAAGCGAAGGCGAUCUCCUGGAACAUAACUGACGCUAAGGCGUGAAAGCGUGGGGAGCAAACAGGAUUAGAUACCCUGGUAGUCCACGCCCUAAACGAUGAACACUAGUCGUCGGGAUGCUAGUCAUCUCGGUGAUGCACUUAACAGAUUAAGUGUUCCGCCUGGGGAGUACGGUCGCAAGAUUAAAACUCAAAGGAAUAGACGGGGACCCGCACAAGUGGUGGAGCAUGUGGUUUAAUUCGAAGAUACGCGAAGAACCUUACCUAGCCUUGACAUUGAGAGAACCUGCCAGAGAUGGCGGGGUGCCCUUCGGGGAGCUCGAAAACAGGUGCUGCACGGCUGUCGUCAGCUCGUGUCGUGAGAUGUUGG